rfam:Caldalkalibacillus thermarum TA2.A1 ctg236, whole genome shotgun sequence.
GAGAUGGCAUCCUCCGGGAGCCAUACUCAUGUCCUGUUAGAUGAGGACACGGUGAGUUGAAAACUGCAAUAAUCUUUUAGACAAGUUCAACGCUCAAUCUGCCUUGAACCUUUAUGGACAGGGACAGAGGG